rnacentral:rRNA from 1 species
AGCAGCCGCGGUAAUUCCAGCUCCAAUAGCGUAUAUUAAAGUUGUUGCAGUUAAAAAGCUCGUAGUUGAAUUUCAGGCCUGGCUGGACGGUCCGCCCUUCGGGUGAGUACUGUCUGUGGUCGGGUCCUACCUUCUGGCGAAGCGUCAUGGCCUUAACCGGCCGUGGCGGGGAACCAGGACUUUUACUGUGAAAAAUUAGAGUGUUCAAAGCAGGCAAUCGCUUGGAUACAUUAGCAUGGAAUAAUGGAAUAGGACAAUGGUUCUAUUUGUUGGUUUCUAGGACCGUUGUAAUGAUUAAUAGGGAUAGUUGGGGGCAUUAGUAUUCAAUUGUCAGAGGUGAAAUUCUUGGAUUUAUUGAAGACUAACUACUGCGAAAGCAUUUGCCAAGGAUGUUUUCAUUAAUCAAGAACGAAAGUUAGGGGAUCGAAGACGAUCAGAUACCGUCGUAGUCUUAACCAUAAACUAUAGCCGAC